AGUGAAGCGGGAUGAGCUCAAAUUUGAAAUCUGGCUGGUUUACUAGUCCGAGUUGUAAUUUAAAGAAGCGUUUUCGGUGGCAGCCUGGGUAUAAAUCCUUUGGAAUAGGGUAUCAUAGAGGGUGAGAAUCCCGUCUUUGACCUAGUGCAUGCUACUAUGUGAUACGUUUUCAAAGAGUCGAGUUGUUUGGGAAUGCAGCUCAAAAUGGGUGGUAAAUUUCAUCUAAAGCUAAAUAUUGGCGAGAGACCGAUAGCGAACAAGUACCGUGAGGGAAAGAUGAAAAGAACUUUGAAAAGAGAGUUAAACAGUGCGUGAAAUUGUUGAAAGGGAAACGUUUGACACCAGUCAUGUGGGUGGAAAAUCAGUCUUUUGCAUUGGGGAGUUGUAAAGGUUCGGACCGCAAGGCCGGCUUUUGCUUCAUCUUUGGUGUAAGGGAUGCACUUUUUCAUCUACAGGUCAACAUCAGUUUCUUUUGCUGGACAAAACUCCGAGAGAAGGUAGCAGCUUAGGCUGUGUUAUAGCUCUGGAGCGAUACAGUGAAGGGGACUGAGGUUUUCGCAGCGUGUGCUCUCGGGCAAGGCUGGAUGGGUGCUAUGGGAUCGUUCGGGGUACAAUGCCUGGCAUUUUGCUUCGUGUCUUUUCUAUACUCGCUCAACUCAGCUCUUCCACGCUUAGGAUGUUGACUUAAUGGUUUUAAACGACCCGUCUUGAAACACGGACCAAGGAGUCUAACAUAUAUGCAAGUGUUUGGGUGGCAAACCCAUGCGCGUAAUGAAAGUGAACGUAGGUGCGAUCCGCAAGGUGCAGCAUCGACCGAUCUUGAUAUUUUUGGAUAGAUUUGAGUAAGAGCAUAUAUGCUGGGACCCGAAAGAUGGUGAACUAUGCCUGAAUAGGGUGAAGCCAGAGGAAACUCUGGUGGAGGCUCGUAGCGAUUCUGACGUGCAAAUCGAUCGUCAAAUUUGGGUAUAGGGGCGAAAGACUA
rnacentral:rRNA from 2 species